CGCUCUUUGGGGAAAAUUAAGAGUAAGGUCUGCCCAAUGAAAAUUAAAUGGCCGCGGUAUUUUGACCGUGCGAAGGUAGCAUAAUCAUUAGUCUAUUAAUUGUAGGCUGGAAUGAAAGGCUAGAUGAAGAAAAGCUGUCUUUUUUGGUGUUAUGAAUUUUAGUUUUAUGUGAAGACGCAUAAAUAGUAUUAGGGGACGAGAAGACCCUAUUAAGCUUUAUAUCAAAUUUUUAGAAAGGAUAUAUAAGAAAAAGAUAUUAUGUUGGGGCGACAGUAAAAUAAACGUUUAUUUAAAGGAAAUAAUUUAAUUAAAUAUAAAAUGAUCCAUAAUUUUUGAUCGGAAGGAUAAGUUACUAUAGGGAUAACAGCGUAAUUUUAUCAGAGAGUUCAUAUUGAUGAUAAAGAUUGCGACCUCGAUGUUGAAUUAGGAUACCCAUGGGGUGCAGCAGUUCUUUAGGGUGGUCUGUUCGACCAUUAAAUUCCUACA
rnacentral:rRNA from 2 species